rnacentral:rRNA from 1 species
CAGUAGCCGCGGUAAUACGUAGGGUGCGAGCGUUAAUCGGAAUUACUGGGCGUAAAGCGGGCGCAGACGGUUACUUAAGCAGGAUGUGAAAUCCCCGGGCUCAACCUGGGAAUUGCGUUCUGAACUGGGUGGCUAGAGUGUGUCAGAGGGGGGUAGAAUUCCACGUGUAGCAGUGAAAUGCGUAGAGAUGUGGAGGAAUACCGAUGGCGAAGGCAGCCCCCUGGGAUAGCACUGACGUUCAUGCCCGAAAGCGUGGGUAGCAAACAGGAUUAGAUACCCCGGUAGUCCCUGUCUCUUAUAC